UACGGUCAUGCUUCGAGUGCCGAGGAAUUUUCCUCACAUGUAUAUCGAAUGUACAAAGUCCAAGACUCGUGGUCGAUCGUUACGACGAGGUAGGUAUAGGUAAUGGAUGUAUAGAGCAUUCUUUGUCAACUGGAUCCUUCACUCGAUCAACCUCAGCGAUAUUUUUCAUACCUAAUCAGUAUGUACCACUUCCUGAUACAAAGUUUUACGAAUUAUUUCAAACUUUGCGAAACUAACGGUUCGAUUACAUGAUACAUUUUUUUUCAGCAAUCAAAGAUGACGAUCAAAUUUACCGAUCAAAUAAUUAGAUUCAUUGCACCUCGAGUUCUACUCGACGAAUGUUCAAUUGGGACGAUAAGAUUGCUGUAAAAUAAUCGCGAAAUGUGGGUAUAUUAUUGAGAAAAUCGCUACUCAGCACCGUUGGCUAAGACAUCGGUAGUCACGAGUACGUGAUUGUUGUGAUUCUGUUGUCGAUUUUGAUUGUUGACUGCUUUUCCCGUAGCCGGACGA